rnacentral:rRNA from 1 species
CCUACGGGUGGCAGCAGUGAGGAAUAUUGAUCAAUGGACGAGAGUCUGAACCAGCCAAGUAGCGUGAAGGAUGACUGCCCUAUGGGUUGUAAACUUCUUUUAUAUGGGAAUAAAAUGUUCCACGUGUGGGAUUUUGUAUGUACCAUAUGAAUAAGGAUAGGCUAACUCCGUGCCAGCAGCCGCGGUAAUACGGCGGAUCCGAGCGUUAUCCGGAUUUAUUGGGUUUAAAGGGAGCGUAGGUGGAUUGUUAAGUCAGUUGUGAAAGUUUGCGGCUCAACCGUAAAAUUGCAGUUGAAACUGGCAGUCUUGAGUACAGUAGAGGUGGGCGGAAUUCGUGGUGUAGCGGUGAAAUGCUUAGAUAUCACGAAGAACUCCGAUUGCGAAGGCAGUUCACUGGACUGCAACUGACACUGAGGCUCGAAAGUGUGGGUAUCAAACAGGAUUAGAUACCCGUGUAGUC